rnacentral:pre_miRNA from 1 species
AACCGUCUGUAUCCGUGCUGAGAUUUCGUCACACACUAUACCACAAUGGCUGAUGAGACUCUCAGGAUAUUAUCUCUA